rnacentral:tRNA from 1 species
GAUAGCGAAGAGGCUAAACGCGGCGGACUGUAAAUCCGCUCCUUCGGGUUCGGGGGUUCGAAUCCCUCUCUUUCCA